GACGAACGCUGGCGGCGUGCCUAAUACAUGCAAGUAGAACGCUGAAGGAGGAGCUUGCUUCUCUGGAUGAGUUGCGAACGGGUGAGUAACGCGUAGGUAACCUGCCUGGUAGCGGGGGAUAACUAUUGGAAACGAUAGCUAAUACCGCAUAAUAGUAGAUGUUGCAUGACAUUUGCUUAAAAGGUGCAAUUGCAUCACUACCAGAUGGACCUGCGUUGUAUUAGCUAGUUGGUGGGGUAACGGCUCACCAAGGCGACGAUACAUAGCCGACCUGAGAGGGUGAUCGGCCACACUGGGACUGAGACACGGCCCAGACUCCUACGGGAGGCAGCAGUAGGGAAUCUUCGGCAAUGGACGGAAGUCUGACCGAGCAACGCCGCGUGAGUGAAGAAGGUUUUCGGAUCGUAAAGCUCUGUUGUAAGAGAAGAACGAGUGUGAGAGUGGAAAGUUCACACUGUGACGGUAUCUUACCAGAAAGGGACGGCUAACUACGUGCCAGCAGCCGCGGUAAUACGUAGGUCCCGAGCGUUGUCCGGAUUUAUUGGGCGUAAAGCGAGCGCAGGCGGUUAGAUAAGUCUGAAGUUAAAGGCUGUGGCUUAACCAUAGUACGCUUUGGAAACUGUUUAACUUGAGUGCAAGAGGGGAGAGUGGAAUUCCAUGUGUAGCGGUGAAAUGCGUAGAUAUAUGGAGGAACACCGGUGGCGAAAGCGGCCCUCUGGCUUGUAACUGACGCUGAGGCUCGAAAGCGUGGGGAGCAAACAGG
rnacentral:rRNA from 1 species